rnacentral:rRNA from 1 species
AAAUGAGAUCAUACUAACUCUUAUGCACCGGAUUCCAUCAAAAUUCCUAAGUUAAGUGAGUUUAGGCAAAGAAUGGUAUUAGGAUGGGUGAACUCCUGAGAAUUCCUCAUGUUACAUCCC